GGCUUCACAUACCAGUCGGCUUAUAAACAACAGAAAUGCAUCCAACUCUUCUGGAGGCUGCAAGCCCAAAUGCAAGGCCACAGGGAUCCAGGGGCUGGUUCAUGGCUGGUCAUCUUGCUGCAGCCUCAUAUGGUGGAGAGGGGCGAUGUAGAGGGCCACAAGUCAGACAUUUGACCAAGCAAAUCAAUUAAGGAUGAAGAAGGAAGCACCUUGAUACAGUCCAAAGACCUGGCUCACAAGAGGACGCUUGUUGUCCACAUCAAUAUGAUCAGAAGUCCCCCCACCAACAGAAAUUCUGGAACUCUCCUCCAUGGCUGCGUACUAGGCAGCUGCCUGCCUGGUGUAAGGCUCCUGACGUCAAGAAGGGUGUGAGGGUUCUGCAGAGCCUUUCCUGGCAGGCCUGGGCACCAGGAAUCUCCUAGUCUUCACUGAGGAAUGAAGACGUCACUUGGGAGUCCUAGUCCAC